rnacentral:misc_RNA from 1 species
UAAGAAAGAAGCUAAAUUUAUUUGGAACGAUCAGUGCGAGGUUGCUUUUCACAAACUAAAAGAAGCACUGAUGUCAACACCUAUUCUUGUGAAGGCAGAUGUAUGAAAACCACUGACCAUGACAACAGAUGGCAGCAAUUAUGCAGUUGGAGCAGUUCUAAGCCAGGUCCAAGCAGAUGGUGAAUUAGGUGCAAUUGGUUAUUUGAUAAAAAAACUAAACCAGGCAGAGGUAAACUAUUCAGCUUCAAGUAAAGAGGCUUAAGGAUUAGUGUUGGCUUGUCGUAAUUUUGCACAUUAUAUAUGGGGAAACGGUGUCACAGUCUAUACUGAGCACCAGCCUCUUGUAUUCGUUUUUCACAGAAGGACCAAGUCUGCUCGUAUGAACAGAUGGAUUUUAGAAAUGCGUGGACAUACUUCGAAGAUGAAAUACAUCAAGGGAAAGCAAAAUUUUGCUGCAGAUAUGUUGUGUAUACCAGUGUAUAAUGUGAAAGUAAUAACUGGAAAUGCUGAUAUUUUGGGCUUAAGUGUAGAAGAAUUUAAAAGUAAAGAAGGGGAGAAUGAUAAAUGGAUGGCAGUAAUGCAUGACUUAGAAGGUGACCCCUUACCAGGAAACCCAAAGAAAACUGUUUUGGCUAACUUUGAGUUAGAUCAAGGUCUGUUGUAAUAUGGCAAAAAGCGUAAUGAUGGCAGUAUCUGCUAUA